AGUGAACGCUGGCGGUAGGCCUAACACAUGCAAGUCGAACGGCAGCACAGUAAGAGCUUGCUCUUACGGGUGGCGAGUGGCGGACGGGUGAGGAAUACAUCGGAAUCUACUUUUUCGUGGGGGAUAACGUAGGGAAACUUACGCUAAUACCGCAUACGACCUACGGGUGAAAGCAGUGGAUCUUCGGACCUUGCGCGAUUGAAUUAGCCGAUGUCGGAUUAGCUAGUUGGCGGGGUAAAGGCCCACCAAGGCGACGAUCCGUAGCUGGUCUGAGAGGAUGAUCAGCCACACUGGAACUGAGACACGGUCCAGACUCCUACGGGAGGCAGCAGUGGGGAAUAUUGGGCAAUGGGCGCAAGCCUGAUCCAGCCAUACCGCGUGGGUGAAGAAGGCCUUCGGGUUGUAAAGCCCUUUUGUUGGGAAAGAAAAGCAGCAGAUUAAUACCCCGCUGUUCUGACGGUACCCAAAGAAUAAGCACCGGCUAACUUCGUG
rnacentral:rRNA from 1 species